GGUGGGGUUCCCGAGCGGCCAAAGGGAGCAGACUGUAAAUCUGCCGUCAUCGACUUCGAAGGUUCGAAUCCUGCCCCCACCACCA
rnacentral:tRNA from 1 species